rnacentral:rRNA from 1 species
UACAGAGGGUGCAAGCGUUGUUCGGAAUUAUUGGCGUAAAGCGCGUGUAGGCGGUUUUGCAAGUCGGGUGUGAAAUCCCCCAGCUUAACUGGGGAAGUGCGCUCGAAACUGCAGAGCUAGAGUAUCGGAGAGGGUGGCGGAAUUCCCGGUGUAGAGGUGAAAUUCGUAGAUAUCGGGAGAACACCGGUGGCGAAGGCGGUUCUCUGGGCAUUACCUGACGCUGAGGAGCGAAAGUGUGGGGAGCGAACAGG